AAGUGGAAAUCGCUCCCUGAGCGACGCACUCCGCCGAGUUUGUGCGGAAGACGCUCCACACUCCGAAGGCGUAGGAGACGGCGGAGAGCCAGUCAGACACCGAGAGAUGUCUGCCUGUCAGGAAAGAGUUGCCGCUGCAGAUUUCCAAAUUGGAUGGAUACCAUGCUGAGCUCGUGGAUGCACGCUUGCCUUAUGGAGGCAGCCAGGAGAGCCUUAACCACGCGAGAGUCUGCUCCUGCCAUCUGCCGAACCGCUGUGUGACUGAUGAGAAGGGCUGGUGCGUGUCCUGGAUACUUUCUAAUGAGCAGUGUGAGCUAAUGCCGGCCUCAUCAGACACCGGUCACUUGCAGGCUUUAUCUCCAGUUGGGAUGCGCACGAUCACCCAGGAAGGCUAUCAUCCACCUGGGACCCCUCCCCGGAGGUGUGCCGUUCCACUGCUGAUUGCCUCUCUGUUUUAGCAGCAAUGCACCAUUCAAGUCUGCAGGCAACUUGACAAAUGAGCAGCGACCUGAGCAGAGGGGAUGCUUAUACUGCACCACACAUCCUGUCCCAUCCACAGCCUGGCGUCCCGCAGUGGUUCACCUUUCCCAGCCGAUGCCCUUUCCUUAUUGUAACGCUGUAAGUCACACAUGUAGAGUACAUGCUUAAAUUCAUGCUUGCUGAUUCAUGUACACACAAAGACGCUGCUUAAAGAGCGUGUAAGUGAUCAGAAGCCUAUGUAUUUUCUAUUCUUUCUUCUUCAUAUAUGCUAGGCUGCCCAAAUUGAUCGUGUAAUUUUUCAUCAUUUGGCAGAAAAUGAUAAACUGGAACUGGAACGUAAGCGCAUAAAAAUAAAACAUUUUCCCCAAACUUUAAAGUGUGCCGCUUUUCUUUCUUUAUAUUUUUCUUUUACAUAAUUUUAAAGUCACUUUCUUUUAGUUUUGGACCUUUAGUUUGACAAGAAAAGACAUCUGAAUUAUAGCUGCAGUGAUGGGAAAAACAGCAGCAGGCAUUUCUGACAAUUUAUGUCAUCUUCUAAAUAAAGUGAAUAUCCAAUUACCUGCGAUGUUAGGAGAUGAAUCUGUUGGAAAUACAAGUGCGAUUAGAAGCUUGUAUAGCUUAACAUAAAAAAGGGAGACCAUCGUUGUUAAAAAGUUGGG